GCCUGGGUGGCUCAGUAGGUUUAAGCAUCCGACUUCAGCUCAGGUCAUGAUCUCACAGUUUGUGGGUUCAAGCCUCACAUCAGGCU
rnacentral:tRNA from 1 species